rnacentral:rRNA from 1 species
GAUGAUGGAAAAACUAGCAAGCUAUGGCUUCAAAGCUUACCUUAUUUAGAAAAGGAGAAAGGGUUUUUUUAUAGAUGUUGAGGUUGAGUAAGGGGGGCGGAGCUUGAAGAGUGACGCAAGCCACGCUAGCCUAGCAACAUUUUUCAGUAGCAAGCUAUGGUCUAACAACCCCCUAACCUAGGUUGGGGCGAAAACUCUAAAAUCCAAAACGUUGGUUAGGGUUCCUCUCCUUUUAGGCGAGCUACUUCGUUCCAAACCUUUCUCUAAUAAUAAGGUAAGGUUUCAAGCCGCCGCCCUUUAAAGGAGCGGGCGCAGUGAACUAUAAUUGUGAAAAGAUUGGAAGAUCUGGCCAAAGAAGGUGAUAGCCCUAUAGAUUCGUUCCCAUGGUUCGAUCCUUCCCAGUAAAAUGCGGCGUGUUCGAAUUUUGAUCGCUUUUACGCGAGAAAAGGGGACCACCCUCUAAGCCUAAAUAUUCCUCAAUGACCGAUAGCGUACAAGUACCGUGAGGGAAAGGUGAAAAGAACCCUAUUUAGGGAGUGCAAUAAAGAACCUGAGAUCCGAUGCGAACAAUCAGUUGAAGGAGCGGAGCUUAGAGCCUUUACUUUAUGUAAAACGCACUCACUCUAACGGCGUACCUUUUGCAUGAUGGGUCAGCGAGGAAAUGGGAACAGCGGCUUAAGCCAUUAGGUGUAGGCGCUUUCCAGAGGUGGAAUCUUCUAGUUCUUCCUAUUUGACCCGAAACCGAUCGAUAUAGCCAUGAGCAGGUUGAAGAGAGCUCUAACAGGCCUUGGAGGACUGAACCCACGUAUGUGGAAAAAUACGGGGAUGAGUUGUGGCUAGGGGUGAAAGGCCAACCAAGAUCGGAUAUAGCUGGUUUUCCGUGAAAUCUAUUUCAGUAGCGCGUAUGAUGUCGAUGGCCCGAGGUAGAGCACUCAAUGGGCUAGGGUGGCCUCAUUUUGCCUUACCAACCCCAGGAAAACUCUGAAUAAAGGCCUAGAUCGUUUGUACAAACAGACUUUUUGGGUGCUAAGAUCCAAAGUCGAGAGGGAAACAGCCCAGAUCGUACGCUAAGUUCCCUAAGCAAUCACUUAGUGAAAAAGGAAGUAAUCGAGCGAUGACAACCAGGAGGUGGGCUUGGAAGCAGCCAUCCUUUAAAGAAAGCAUAAUAGCUCACUGGUCUAGCUCCAUGGCACCAAAAAUGUAUCAGGGCUCAAGUGAUUCACCAAAGCGAUGAGACCUUGAAAGCUGCUUUUUCAAGUGUCAGUAGCGGAACGUUCUGUCAAUCGGGGAAGGUUUUUGGUGACAAGACCUGGAGAUAUCAGAAGUGAGAAUGCUGACAUGGGUAACAAAAAAUCCUGUGAAAAACACGAUCGCCUGCCAGUGGAAGGUUUUCUGUGUUCAGUCAAUCUACGCAAAGUGAAUCGGUCCCUAAGGAACCCCCGAAAGGGCCUAGUCCGAUGGGUACACGAAAGUGACGAAGUUGCUUUGACUACAGAACCUUGCCUGUCUGUUGGAGCGAAUUGGAUGAUCGGUCCGUGGGCUACCCCCUCUUCCCCUUACUCUCCUUUCCCUAAUAUGAACCUUAAGUCAUCAAAGCCUUUCUGACUCGGCCAGAUCCGGUCGCCCUACGCGACUGGCACUUCAAAAGGCAAAACUCUCAGUCGUAGUUUGGCGACCUAUCUUCAGUAGGGGCCUUUAGUCUUUUGAUUAGGUAGGGGCCGCGAGAGAGCAGAGCGUACCACCCUGCCAUAGUCACGAGUUUGUUUAUAGUCGUGACUGUUGUCAUAGUCAAUAAGGUUGAAACUUCCAGGAAAAAACUUUGAAUUGGGAGGGCGAUCCUCCCGGUGAACUGACCGUACCCCAAACCGACACAGGUGAACAAGUAGAGUAUACUAGGGCGCUUGAGAGAACAAUGUUGAAGGAACUCGGCAAAAUGACCCCGUAACUUCGGGAGAAGGGGUGCUCUCUUAUCUUUUGAUUAGGAAAGUGGCACAUACCAGGGGGUAGCGACUGUUUAUUAAAAACACAGGACUCUGCUAAGUGGUAACAUGAUGUAUAGAGUCUGACACCUGCCCAGUGCUAAAAGGUCGGAAGGAGAAGUGUUAUAAGCUUUGAAUGGAAGCCCCGGUAAACGGCGGCAGUAACUCUAACUGUCCUAAGGUAGCGAAAUUCCUUGUCGCAUAAGUGACGACCUGCACGAAUGGUGUAACGACUUCCCCGCUGUCUCCGACAUGGACCCGGUGAAAUUGAAUUCUCCAUGAAGAUGCGGAGUACCAACGGCUAGAUGGUAAGACCCCGUACACCUUAACUAUAGCUUCGCAGUGAUAACCUUAAUCGAAUGUGUAGGAUAGGUGGGAGGUGGUGACACACAACGACCAAUACUGAAAGACCAUUCUUUCAUCUAAGGAUGCCUAACCGCCGCACCAAUCAUUUGGGGGGAGGCGGGACACUACGAGGUGGGUAGUUUAUCUGGGGCGGAUGCCUCCUAAAGAGUAACGGAGGUGUGUGAAGGUAGGCUCAAGCUAAGAUUCUGCUCGUGAGCGUAAUGGUAUAAGCCUGCCUGACUGUGAGACCGACUGAUCGAACAGAGACAAAAGUCAGCCAUAGUGAUCCGGAAGUCCCGUAUGGAAAGGCUCUCGCUCAACGGAUCAAAGGUAUGCCGGGGAUAAUAGGCUUAUGACUCCCAAGAGCUCUUAUCGACGGAGUAGUUUGGCACCUCGAUGUCGACUCAUCACAUCCUGGGGUUGAAGAAGGUCCCAAGGGUUUGGUUGUUCGCCGAUUCAAGUGGUACAUGAGUUGGUUUUAGAACAUCGUGAGACAGUUCGAUUCCUAUCUACCGUUGGUGUUAAAGGGAGAACUACGAGGAGCCAACCCUAGUAUGAGAGGAUUGGGUUGGGCUAACCUAUGGUGUACCGAUUGUUAUGCCAAUAGCAGCACCGGGCAGCUAAGUUAGUAUGGAAGAACUGCUGCGCCGUGGGAAAUCCUUCUCUAUACAAGUUCUCGGAUGAGGUUUUUGAACAGAACUUCGAUAGGCGAGAGGUGUAAGCACCGCGAGGUGUGAAGAGAUCUCGUACUAAAUGAAACGACUUUCACUU